rnacentral:rRNA from 1 species
UACAGAGGGUGCGAGCGUUAAUCGGAAUUACUGGGCGUAAAGCGUGCGUAGACGGCCAUCUAAGUCGGGUGUGAAAGCCCCGGGCUCAACCUGGGAAUUGCAUUCGAGACUGAAUAGCUAGGGUACGGUAGAGGGAAGCGGAAUUUCCGGUGUAGCGGUGAAAUGCGUAGAUAUCGGAAGGAACAUCAGUGACGAAAGCGGCUUCCUGGACCAGUACCGACGUUCAGGCACGAAAGCGUGGGGAGCAAACAGG